GACGAACCGUGCGAACGUUGUUCGGAUUCACUGGGCUUAAAGGGCGCGUAGGCGGCGGGGUAAGUCGGGUGUGAAAUCUCAGAGCUCAACUCUGAAAUGGCACUUGAUACUGCUCUGCUAGAGGACUGGAGAGGAGAUUGGAAUUCACGGUGUAGCAGUGAAAUGCGUAGAUAUCGUGAGGAAGACCGGUGGCGAAGGCGGAUCUCUGGACAGUUCCUGACGCUGAGGCGCGAAGGCCAGGGGAGCAAACGGG
rnacentral:rRNA from 1 species